AACAGAGCCGCCAUCGUGCGUUAUUUAUCCCAAAAGAGGGAAAGGAAACGCUCGAAGUAAACCUGGAAAAGACAUGGUCUCGCGACCAAAGAGAGAUGGGAUCGGGAGUCGGUUAUGCGAAGGGAAGGUAUUAGCACCCCUACGCAUCCGUCGUACUCGACGGGAUCCACGCACAAAAGAAAGGAUAAGGUUGCUAGAAACUGCUCACAAACUGCACACAAGGCUGGAAGGAAACACAGAAAGACAA
rnacentral:lncRNA from 1 species